rnacentral:rRNA from 1 species
GAUGAACGCUAGCUACAGGCUUAACACAUGCAAGUCGAGGGGCAGCAUCAUCAAAGCUUGCUUUGAUGGAUGGCGACCGGCGCACGGGUGAGUAACACGUAUCCAACCUGCCGACAACACUGGGAUAGCCUUUCGAAAGAAAGAUUAAUACCGGAUGGCAUAGUUUUCCCGCAUGGGAUGAUUAUUAAAGAAUUUCGGUUGUCGAUGGGGAUGCGUUCCAUUAGGCAGUUGGCGGGGUAACGGCCCACCAAACCUACGAUGGAUAGGGGUUCUGAGAGGAAGGUCCCCCACAUUGGAACUGAGACACGGUCCAAACUCCUACGGGAGGCAGCAGUGAGGAAUAUUGGG